GAUGAACGCUAGCGAUAGGCUUAACACAUGCAAGUCGAGGGGCAGCACAUGAGUGGUAACACGAUGGUGGCGACCGGCGCACGGGUGAGUAACACGUAUGCAACCUGCCCAUAACUGGGGGAUAACCCGUCGAAAGGCGGACUAAUACCGCAUGAUAACAUUGAUCUGCAUGGUGAUAUGAUUAAAGCUCUAUCGGUUAUGGAUGGGCAUGCGUUCCAUUAGAUAGUUGGUAGGGUAAUGGCCUACCAAGUCUGCGAUGGAUAGGGGUUCUGAGAGGAAGGUCCCCCACACUGGUACUGAGACACGGACCAGACUCCUACGGGAGGCAGCAGUGAGGAAUAUUGGUCAAUGGGCGAGAGCCUGAACCAGCCAAAUCGCGUGAAGGAUGAAGGUAUUAUGUAUUGUAAACUUCUUUUGUCAGGGAAUAAAGUGCGGCACGUGUGCUGUUUUGUAUGUACCUGAAGAAUAAGGAUCGGCUAACUCCGUGCCAGCCGCCGCAGUAAUAC
rnacentral:rRNA from 1 species